rnacentral:rRNA from 1 species
CGGGACGGGUGAGUAAUGUCUGGGAAACUGCCCGAUGGAGGGGGAUAACUACUGGAAACGGUAGCUAAUACCGCAUAACGUCGCAAGACCAAAGAGGGGGACCUUAGGGCCUCUUGCCAUCGGAUGUGCCCAGAUGGGAUUAGCUAGUAGGUGGGGUAAUGGCUCACCUAGGCGACGAUCCCUAGCUGGUCUGAGAGGAUGACCAGCCACGCUGGAACUGAGACACGGUCCAG